GGCCUACCAUGGUGGUAACGGGUAACGGGGUGUUAGGGCACGACACCGGAGAGGGAGCCUGAGAAACGGCUACCACAUCCAAGGAUGGCAGCAGGCGCGCAAAUUACCCAAUCCCGACACGGGGAGGUAGUGACAAUAAAUAACAAUACGGGGUUCUUUCGGAUCUCGUAAUUGGAAUGAGUACAAUUUAAAUCUCUUAACGAGGAACAAUUGGAGGGCAAGUCUGGUGCCAGCAGCCGCGGUAAUUCCAGCUCCAAUAGCGUAUAUUAAAGUUGUUGCAGUUAAAAAGCUCGUAGUUGAAUUUCGGGGUUAGCAGGUCGGUCGUGCCAUCGGUAUGAACUGGCCUCGCUGAUCCCUCCCUCUUGACGAACUGUGAUGCCAUUAAUUUGGUGUCGCAGGGAAUCAGGACUGUUACUUUGAAAAAAUUAGAGUGUUUAAAGCAGGCUCACGCUUGAAUACAUUAGCAUGGAAUAAUGAAAUAGGACGUUUGAUCCUAUUUUGUUGGUUUCUGGGAUUGACGUAAUGAUUAAUAGGGAUAGUUGGGGGCAUUAGUAUUCAAUUGUCAGAGGUGAAAUUCUUGGAUUUAUUGAAGACUAACUACUGCGAAAGCAUUUGCCAAGGAUGUUUUCAUUAAUCAAGAACGAAAGUUAGGGGAUCGAAGACGAUCAGAUACCGUCGUAGUCUUAACCAUAAACUAUGCCGACUAGGGAUCGGAUGAUGUUAAUUUUUUAAUGACUCAUUCGGCGCCUUACG
rnacentral:rRNA from 1 species